UUCUCUCUCUUCUUUUCCAUGCCUGUGGACACGACCGCUGGCGACAGGAGCCGUCGGAUUUUAUCGGAGAAGAAAGUCCUGUUCUUCUCUCUCUUUUUCUGAUUUUUUAUGGCACCGACAGUCACCGCCGACUGCCGGCUUCGGCCUCCGAGCACGGGAGGGUCGUCCCUUGCCGCCGGCCACCGUCGGGCGGAGAAUGGCCGUGAUCGGCCGGUCAAAGGCAUGGGGACCUCUAGGUCCCCUG
rnacentral:lncRNA from 1 species